rnacentral:lncRNA from 1 species
ACACCCAAACAUAAAUUUCGUACCCAAGAACAGUAAUUUUCGGGUUCAUAAAAUAAAUUGAUAUAACUCGGUAUAUGUCUGCAACUACUGUUCCACCGUCUUUUCUGAAACAAGCUUGUUCCCAAGUGAGGAUAAAAUUAAUUAAAGUCUAAAUUUAAUUUUAGUUAUGAUAUUAAUCAUUAAUUAGAUAUUUAAGUCACAUCCUUUGCUUAAAUAAUAAAAUAAUUAAAUAUUAAUAAUUUAAUGUGUUUAUUUAUAAACUAAUAUUUAUUAUAUAUAUUGAUCAACUAUUAAUAUUUUUAUUAAUCUAAUUAAUUUUUUUACUAGUUAUCUAACUAAAAUAAUUUACUAACUAAUUAAAAAGUUAAAUUAUUUUUUAUAUCUAAUUAAUUAAUUAAUUAAUAUAUUUUCAUUAUCUUAUACAAUAUUCAUAACUAAUAAAUUUAUUAAUAUAUUAAAUUAUUUUUAAUUAAUAUUUUGAUAUUAAUUAAUUCGAUAAAAUAUUUUUAAUUUAAAAUUAUAAGUUUUUUUCUUUUUCUUUUUUCCAAUCUAACCAUUCAAAUCUUAUUUACCUUAUCUCCGGUAACAAUCUAAUUUUCAUCGAAAUGUAAAAUUAGUCUAAUUUCUUUCUAUAUCUGAACUUGUAUAUAUCUCUAAAAUAAACAAUUAUUACUUAGAGCCGAAUCAAACACA